GGAGAGAGGCAGUAAAGGGGGGCGUGGCCAGCACAGUGACAUCUCAUGUACAGACACAUAUCUGCACUCUCAGGCUUGUGCACCAAACAUCAUCAGAGCAGGGAGAGAAGCUGACAUCACAGGUCAUGUGACCCUCAGUGAAAUCUGGGAAAGCAGCAACUGGAGAU